UUAAUUAUGCGUUUUCUACAUGCAGCUCAUCUGUCACCACUGGUACUGGAGACUCAGAUCUGGGAUGGAGAUCUGAAGGGGACAAUUACAGCUGUUGACUAGCAGGCAGCCAGGUGCAGAGAGUGUGUGGGCAUGUUGGGUUCUGUCCCAGGACAUCUCGUUACAGCACACAGAGACUGUGCUGAUGUGAUCCAGCGAGAGGAGUGUGAGGAUGAGGAGGCAGACCUUCCUCUGUAUGAACACUGAUUCAAUGCAAUAAGCAUUUGACAAAUUCCUUUUAAACAAACUUUACAAUAACACAAUUCCUCUAACCAU